AACCUUAUGGACCUGCGGGCGUAUACCUGCGGAAGGAUCAUUAAAAAGAGUGUGUACCCCUCUGUAAAAUGAGUGGGUUACCUCCCGUCCUUUGUUGACCUCUUAGGAGGUUAUUUUGAACUUUCUGCUUCGGUGGGGUUAAACCUACCGGAACACCCUCAAAUUCUUAUCAUUUAAAAAUUGUUCAGUCUGAUUUUUGUUAAUAAAAACAAAAAACUUUUAACAAUGGAUCUCAGAUCG
rnacentral:misc_RNA from 1 species